UAGUUUAUUGCAAUCACUUUAAUUUACAUUCCUUUUUUGUGUUUUGUUUCUCAUAAUGUCUGAUUGUAAGAUAACGUGCUUACCAGAAGAGAUCAUAGACAUCAUUCUCGGCUAUAAUGUUAUCACUAUUGAGGAUAUCAUCAACUUUCGAUGCGUGUGCACGAAAUUUCGUUAUGCAGCAACCACAUAUAACAAGUUUUUGGAAAAAAAGUUAUCUCAAAGAUGGCCCUAUGCAAAGAGAAGAUAUGAAAGUCUUACGGAAAAAGAAAAAGAAGAAAACCUAAACUUUGUUAUAAUAGGCAUAAAUUCUGCGAGACAAUUGCGAAGUUAUUUGUCUCAAAUUCUCUUUUAUGAUCAUUUUUACAAUAAUAGAUCAAAUCGAAAUUAUUUCAAUGGCUCAAUCAAUAAUAUAAUUAAAUUCGAUAAUGUAAUAAAAUUCUCGAGAAAAAUCAAUGUACAUGUAAAGCAUAGAAAUAUACUUUUUCUUGAGCCUAGAAAUAAGCUUAUAAAUGAGCUGCAAUAUAUGUUUUAUAUUGAGGAGAUUAAAUGCUUGUUAACACCAUUUCAACAAGGAAUUGAUCGCAAAUCAAUCGAAAGAUAUUGCAAUAUAGAAAUGUCUCACUAUGAAAAGCUAUCCUCGAUACGAAAUGAGUUGGACAGAUAUAGAGAGAAACUAGAAAAAGAACAACUUUUAGAAGAAACGUGUACUUUCAUAUCAAAAUAUAUUCAAGUUCGAGAAGAUGUAUGUUACACAAAUGUAAGUGCAUCAUUGGAUACAAUCGCACAAGAAGUACGGAAUCGUCUCAGAAAAAAGCAUCCGAACCAUUCGAUAUUCUCCAUGUGUGAUGAAACUUUUUCUUAUUGGAACACCAACAAUAUCGAAGAUAAUCAUUGGGAUGAAACAGAAAGUACGCAGAUUAUGGAUACAAUCCAGGAAUAUAUAUUUAGCAUUUUGAACUUUCGAGCGUGCCCAUUUCCCAAAGAUAUCAAAUGCAUUUGUAUAGAUUAUGUUUUACAAAGUAAAUCUGGUAAAGAUAUCAUUGUAUAUACAAUAUUUCAUAGCGUGGCAAGAAGACUUGGUCUACGUUGCGAUGUACUAGAUAUUGAAAAUGAAUUCUUUAUAUUUUGGAAACCAGAAUUCGUCACGAAUAAUUUAGAAAAUGCAAGAUGUUUUUACUUAAAACCCGGGUAUUUCCCGAAUUGUCUUCUUGAUUUUCUACCAGAUUACAAGUCUUGUGAAACAAAUAAUGACGUCAUCAAAAUAGAAACUAAAAAGAUGUUGGAGUCUAUAACAUAUAUAGUUAGACAAUUUAUAAGGCAACAUAUAAUAAAUGCUUUGCAAUUAAUCAAAAUUAAAUGCAUUAUCUAAAAACCUUCAAUAUGAUUAAAAUGUAUUGUAAUCAUAUUAUGAUGAUAGGUAUUAUGAGCGCAAGUUAUAUACAUAUGAUGCAAAAUUUUCAAGAUAUCAUAAUAUGUCCGUGUUUUGAGUAGCAUAUGAGCCUGCAUCUGUGUCUAUUUUUGUCAUCAUGUUUUAAGAAAUAUGAGUACAAUAUGAGUAAAGUACAUACGCGCACUAACAAUCGCAUAUUAGUACAUAAUAUAUACAUUUGUAAACAUAUUGAACAUUGUGAGAUUCUUUUAUAUAACAAUAUGUAUAAUUUACAAUUUUUAUAAUUUAACGUGGUUAAGUGUUUAUUGAGGCAUUUAUUCAUAAAGAAAUCAAUUAAAGUAAAAAUUUUACAGUUUGUGUCUUAUAUUUCGUAUUAAAUAAUAGCGCAAAUAAAUAAAAACAUAAAAUAUGCCGUAGUUGCAUGAACCAACAUAAUAGACAGAUGUUAUAUUGACAUAUACAUGUAUAUACAUAUAUAUUUUCGACUUUUGUAGAUAAAUACUAUGCCCUAUUUUUGUAUGCAAUAUCAAUUGAGAAUCAACGACAAAUGAAAUAUAUUUAUUAUU